rnacentral:rRNA from 1 species
GAUGAACGCUGGCGGCGUGCCUAAUACAUGCAAGUCGAGCGAACGGACGAGAAGCUUGCUUCUCUGAUGUUAGCGGCGGACGGGUGAGUAACACGUGGAUAACCUACCUAUAAGACUGGGAUAACUUCGGGAAACCGUAGCUAAUACCGGAUAAUAUUUUGAACCGCAUGGUUCAAAAGUGAAAGACGGUCUUGCUGUCACUUAUAGAUGGAUCCGCGCUGCAUUAGCUAGUUGGUAAGGUAACGGCUUACCAAGGCAACGAUGCAUAGCCGACCUGAGAGGGUGAUCGGCCACACUGGAACUGAGACACGGUCCAGACUCCUACGGGAGGCAGCAGUAGGGAAUCUUCCGCAAUGGGCGAAAGCCUGACGGAGCAACGCCGCGUGAGUGAUGAAGGUCUUCGGAUCGUAAAACUCUGUUAUUAGGGAAGAACAUAUGUGUAAGUAACUGUGCACAUCUUGACGGUACCUAAUCAGAAAGCCACGGCUAACUACGUGCCAGCAGCCGCGGUAAUACGUAGGUGGCAAGCGUUAUCCGGAAUUAUUGGGCGUAAAGCGCGCGUAGGCGGUUUUUUAAGUCUGAUGUGAAAGCCCACGGCUCAACCGUGGAGGGUCAUUGGAAACUGGAAAACUUGAGUGCAGAAGAGGAAAGUGGAAUUCCAUGUGUAGCGGUGAAAUGCGCAGAGAUAUGGAGGAACACCAGUGGCGAAGGCGACUUUCUGGUCUGUAACUGACGCUGAUGUGCGAAAGCGUGGGGAUCAAACAGGAUUAGAUACCCUGGUAGUCCACGCCGUAAACGAUGAGUGCUAAGUGUUAGGGGGUUUCCGCCCCUUAGUGCUGCAGCUAACGCAUUAAGCACUCCGCCUGGGGAGUACGACCGCAAGGUUGAAACUCAAAGGAAUUGACGGGGACCCGCACAAGCGGUGGAGCAUGUGGUUCAAUUCGAAGCAACGCGAAGAACCUUACCAAAUCUUGACAUCCUUUGACAACUCUAGAGAUAGAGCCUUCCCCUUCGGGGGACAAAGUGACAGGUGGUGCAUGGUUGUCGUCAGCUCGUGUCGUGAGAUGUUGGGUUAAGUCCCGCAACGAGCGCAACCCUUAAGCUUAGUUGCCAUCAUUAAGUUGGGCACUCUAAGUUGACUGCCGGUGACAAACCGGAGGAAGGUGGGGAUGACGUCAAAUCAUCAUGCCCCUUAUGAUUUGGGCUACACACGUGCUACAAUGGACAAUACAAAGGGCAGCGAAACCGCGAGGUCAAGCAAAUCCCAUAAAGUUGUUCUCAGUUCGGAUUGUAGUCUGCAACUCGACUACAUGAAGCUGGAAUCGCUAGUAAUCGUAGAUCAGCAUGCUACGGUGAAUACGUUCCCGGGUCU